CAGUCGAGCGGAUGAAGGGAGCUUGCUCCUGAGAUUCAGCGGCGGACGGGUGAGUAAUGCCUAGGAAUCUGCCUGGUAGUGGGGGAUAACGUCCGGAAACGGGCGCUAAUACCGCAUACGUCCUGAGGGAGAAAGUGGGGGAUCUUCGGACCUCACGCUAUCAGAUGAGCCUAGGUCGGAUUAGCUAGUUGGUGGGGUAAAGGCCUACCAAGGCGACGAUCCGUAACUGGUCUGAGAGGAUGAUCAGUCACACUGGAACUGAGACACGGUCCAGACUCCUACGGGAGGCAGCAGUGGGGAAUAUUGGACAAUGGGCGAAAGCCUGAUCCAGCCAUGCCGCGUGUGUGAAGAAGGUCUUCGGAUUGUAAAGCACUUUAAGUUGGGAGGAAGGGCAGUAAGUUAAUACCUUGCUGUUUUGACC
rnacentral:rRNA from 1 species